rnacentral:ncRNA from 1 species
AAAUAAGGGCACACUCGAUGAAAGUCGACGUCGCAAAGCUAAGGGUCUAAACUGUUUUUUAACAGCAUGAUUGCCAGCUGC